ACGAACGCUGGCGGCAGGCUUAACACAUGCAAGUCGAGCGCCCCGCAAGGGGAGCGGCAGACGGGUGAGUAACGCGUGGGAACGUACCUUUUGGUUCGGAACAACUCCGGGAAACUGGAGCUAAUACCGGAUAAGCCCUAACGGGGAAAGAUUUAUCGCCGAAAGAUCGGCCCGCGUCUGAUUAGCUAGUUGGUGAGGUAACGGCUCACCAAGGCGACGAUCAGUAGCUGGUCUGAGAGGAUGAUCAGCCACACUGGGACUGAGACACGGCCCAGACUCCUACGGGAGGCAGCAGUGGGGAAUAUUGGACAAUGGGCGCAAGCCUGAUCCAGCCAUGCCGCGUGAGUGAUGAAGGCCGUAGGGUUGUAAGGCUCUUUUGUCCGGGAAGAUAAUGACUGUACCGGAAGAAUAAGCCCCGGCUAACUUCGUG
rnacentral:rRNA from 1 species